AAAACCUGCGUGACUGACAUAUAGAUCAUAAAAUAUUUCCAUACACCAAAUAUAGUUGAACUAUUGCAUAUAGUAUUAGAAAAAAAGACCAAAACUCAAAAACUUAACUUUGACCACUGAACCAUGAAAAUGAGGUCAAGGUCAGAUGACACCUGCCAGCUAGACAUGUACACCUUACAAUCAUUCCAUACACCAAAUAUAGUAGACCUAUUGCAUACAGUAUAAGAAAAACAGACCAAAACACAAAAACUUAACUAUAACCACUGAACCAUGAAAAUGAGGUCAAGGUCAGAUGACACCUGUCAGCUAGACAUGUACACCUUACAAUCAUUCCAUACACCAAAUAUAGUAGACCUAUUGCAUACAGUAUAAGAAAAACAGACCAAAACACAAAAACUUAACUAUAACCACUGAACCAUGAAAAUGAGGUCAAGGUCAGAUGACACCUGCCAGCUAGACAUGUACACCUUACAAUCAUUCCAUACACCAAAUAUAGUAGACCUAUUGCAUACAGUAUAAGAAAAACAGACCAAAACACAAAAACUUAACUAUAACCACUGAACCAUGAAAAUGAGGUCAAGGUCAGAUGACACCUGCCAGUUGGACAUGUACACCUUACAGUCCUUCCAUACACCGAAUAUACUAGACCUAUUGCUUAUAGUAUCUGAGAUAUGGACUUGACCACGAAAAC